AUGGCCCAGAACCCAGGUCGGCCCAUCCAACCUCUAGGCCACUCCCUCCUAACCCUAGCCCCGACCCCCUCUCGAUCUCUCCCUCGCGUUCCCCACUCCGCCGCCAGCCACUUGUCCCGAUCGGGAUCGUCCUCGAUCCCCCACUUUCCCUCGUCUCCUCCCUUAGGCCGUCACCAUGCACAGAAGAGGGAGCCCGAUCCCCAUGGCCACGCACCCCCCGCGCCCGGUCCCUCUGUCGGCGACCUCCGUCGCCUUGCAGCCUCUGCUUCUCCUCGUUGGCAGGACUCCUGUGCCUCCUUCAUGGCCCUCCUCCUCCGGCCUCCUCGUCGCCCUGCCAUGGACACUGAGCUCGAACCUCUAGCCAACCCUGCCUCCAUGAACUUGCCGAGCAAGUCCCUCUCUUGGAGCCGCUUGCUGCUGCUGCUCUUCAUCGAGGCGCCAAGUUCCGUUGAUCUGCAGCCAUCUCCCUCACGCCCUUCCUCCUCUCCGGCGUUCUGCUCGAGGACCAGCCCCGCGCACCCCUAUGCUCGCGGGCAGGGGACCCCAAGAGCGUCACGCCGUCUCCCUACCUCACCUGCGCUGCCGGUGUCAACAACAGCAGCGGACCGGAGCCCCUGCCUUGCUCCACCACGUCACUGCGCAUCCGGCCAUCGGCGUCCAACUCCUCACCAGCCUGCUGCUACCUCGAGCAGUCCUGCCACGGCCAUCACCUCCCCGAUGCCCUUGCUGCUGCUUCUAGACCACCUCGGUGCCAUCAGGGAGUACCAUGGCCGCCGCCGAUAUCCUUGGAUUCACCAAGAUCGGCAAGUACAACAACUUACGGCACACGGACGACCACCGCACCGAACGCCAAAGUACAGGAUGACCCGCGAAGCCACUGGACGCCAUGUACCACUACAACUAUUGCGUUCCCUUUCGUCUUUGUCAAGUACCCAUGGACGCCAAGUACCACGAUGUCGGUGCCCAUCAAGUUCGGCUACACGAAAAUGCCAAGUACCCGUUCAUGUCGGCAAGACCCGCAAGUCGGACCCCGAAUGA
rnacentral:rRNA from 1 species